rnacentral:rRNA from 1 species
AGUGAACGCUGGCGGUAGGCCUAACACAUGCAAGUCGAACGGCAGCACAGAGGAGCUUGCUCCUUGGGUGGCGAGUGGCGGACGGGUGAGGAAUACAUCGGAAUCUACUCUGUCGUGGGGGAUAACGUAGGGAAACUUACGCUAAUACCGCAUACGACCUACGGGUGAAAGCAGGGGACCUUCAGGCCUUGCGCGAAUGAUAGAUCCGAUGUCGGAUUAGCUAGUUGGCGGGGUAAAGGCCCCCCAAGGCGACGAUCCGUAGCUGGUCUGAGAGGAUGAUCAGCCACACUGGAACUGAGACACGGUCCAGACUCCUACGGGAGGCAGCAGUGGGGAAUAUUGGACAAUGGGCGCAAGCCUGAUCCAGCCAUACCGCGUGGGUGAAGAAGGCCUUCGGGUUGUAAAGCCCUUUUGUUGGGAAAGAAAUCCAGCUGGCUAAUACCCGGUUGAGAUGACGGUACCCAAAGAAUAAGCACCGGCUAACUUCGUGCCAGCAGCCGCGGUAA